UUACCUUCUCCCAUUAUCUCUGACUUCAGAAUGUUUGCUUUGGCUCCCACUGUCUCCCCUCUGCUCUCUCCUGCGGUUAGUGUUGGAUACUCAGCAAAAUCUCUCCUUCCUACAAGCCAGGGCAGACCCAUCGGGGCAGGGAUUGUCUUCUUUCUACUUUAAGUAAACGGAAUUGGAGCAACCUUGGCCUUGGAAGACAGAUUUUGUCUUCUAACGACUUUCCUUCAAAACCACAAAUGCAUUUUGUCUCGAUUUGAGGUGGUUCUUGCCUCUCAUCUCAGCAACCUCAGGGUGGGCAUGAAGCAGCCUCUGGCAGCCUGACGAUUUCACAGCGGAUGCUGCGCUUUUGUGAAAAGUCGAUUUCUCUGCAAACCAGCCGAGAGGGCAAAGAGUGCGGUGUUCCUUCCAUUCAACAGAUCUCUAUGAGCCAGGCCUCGAGCUGUGUUAUGGGGAGUCACUGAAUAAGGCAUCUGCUCUCCAGGCCCGCAUGGCCUGAUGGAGGAGAUGAACAAGGAGACUGUCCGCAUGAAAGCUUGUACAAAGUACCACGUGGUCUCAGUGGAGGUGCAACGCCGUCCACGCUGACCUUGCAUGUGCAAAGCAUCAGAGCUGUGCAACCUUGGGCAAGUUAUUGAACCUCCCCCUGCCUCAGUGUCCUCAGCUAUGAAACAGGCAUAAUGAGAGUUUUUCUCUUCUAGGCUCGAUGUGGGGAUUACAUAAGACACACAGGAAGUGCUUAGCAUAGAAUCUGGACAAGGAAAUGCUCACUAUUCUCUCUUUUAAAAACUUCUCCUGUGAUCGGGAUUUUCAGGUUCCCCAGUGGGGAUGUGUGG